rnacentral:rRNA from 1 species
UUCUGACCGUAAACGAUGCCAACUAGCGAUCCGCCGGUGGCUUCUUGGCCCUGGUGGGGAGCUUCCCGGAAACGAAAGUCUUCCGGUUCCGGGGGAAGUAUGGUUGCAAAGCUGAAACUUAAAGGAAUUGACGGAAGGGCACCACCAGGAGUGGAGCCUGCGGCUUAAUUUGACUCAACACGGGAAAACUCACCCGGCCCGGACACCGUGAGGAUUGACAGAUUGAUAGCUUUUUCAUGAUUCGGUGGUUGGUGGUGCAUGGCCGUUCUUAGUUCGUGGAUCGAUUUGUCUGGUUUAUUCCGAUAACGAGCGAGACUCCAGCCUACUAACUAGUGCGGGCAUUGCCUCUGUGCUUGUCACUUCUUAGAGGGAUUGGCUGCGUCUAGCGGCACGAAACGGAGCAAUAACAGGUCUGUGAUGCCCUUAGAUGUCCGGGGCUGCACGCGCGCUACACUGGCAAAAGCAACGUGCUUGUCCGCCUCCGAAAGGAGCCGGUAAACCCUUGAAAAUUURCCGUGAUUGGGAUCGGAAAUUGCAAUUAUUUUCCGUGAACGAGGAAUUCCUAGUAAGUGCGAGUCAUCAGCUCGCGUUG